GCCGAGAGAGCCCGGCGCUGGAUUAAGGUAAGUGGCUGAAGGGGGACCCUGAGGGUGAGGGGAACCUUAGGAUUGUAUAGUGUCAGGAAAACGGGUUUGUUUUCCUGACACUAUAGUGAUCCUUUAAUAUUUUAACAAAGUGAGUAUUUUCUAGAAAGCAUUUCCUUAAGUUAUGUCUCACGGAAUAUUCACUGAAGUCAACAGCAACUCAAAGCUUGUAAAUUUGGGCAAUAUCAAAGAUACUUAAUGACUAUAUGUAUUCUCUCUAAGUACUACUGAGAAUUGAAUAUUUUAUAAAAACACUGUAGUG